GGGUUGUGAGGUUAAGCGACUAAGCGUACACGGUGGAUGCCCUGGCAGUCAGAGGCGAUGAAGGACGUGCUAAUCUGCGAUAAGCGCCGGUAAGGUGAUAUGAACCGUUAUAACCGGCGAUUUCCGAAUGGGGAAACCCAGUGUGACUCGUCACACUAUCAUUAACUGAAUCCAUAGGUUAAUGAGGCGAACCGGGGGAACUGAAACAUCUAAGUACCCCGAGGAAAAGAAAUCAACCGAGAUUCCCCCAGUAGCGGCGAGCGAACGGGGAGGAGCCCAGAGCCUGAAUCAGCAUGUGUGUUAGUGGAAGCGUCUGGAAAGGCGCGCGAUACAGGGUGACAGCCCCGUACACAAAAGCGCAUGUGCUGUGAGCUCGAUGAGUAGGGCGGGACACGUGGUAUCCUGUCUGAAUAUGGGGGGACCAUCCUCCAAGGCUAAAUACUCCUGACUGACCGAUAGUGAACCAGUACCGUGAGGGAAAGGCGAAAAGAACCCCGGCGAGGGGAGUGAAAAAGAACCUGAAACCGUGUACGUACAAGCAGUGGGAGCAC
rnacentral:rRNA from 2 species